GCUUACGGCCAUACCACCUGAACACGCCCGAUCUCGGAAGCUAAGCAGGGUCGGGCCUGGUUAGUACUUGGAUGGGAGACCGCCUGGGAAUACCAGGUGCUGUAAGCU
rnacentral:rRNA from 1 species